rnacentral:rRNA from 1 species
CCUACGGGAGGCAGCAGUGGGGAAUAUUGCACAAUGGGGGGAACCCUGAUGCAGCGACGCCGCGUGAGUGAAGAAGUAUUUCGGUAUGUAAAGCUCUAUCAGCAGGGCAGAAAAUGACGGUACCUGACUAAGAAGCCCCGGCUAACUACGUGCCAGCAGCCGCGGUAAUACGUAGGGGGCAAGCGUUAUCCGGAUUUACUGGGUGGAAAGGGAGCGUAGACGGUUAUGCAAGUCUGAAGUGAAAGCCCAAGGCUCAACCAUGGGACUGCUUUGGAAACUGUCAAACUGGAGUGCCGGAGAGGUAAGCGGAAUUACUAGUGUAGCGGUGAAAUGCGUAGAUAUUAGGAGGAAAACCAGUGGCGAAGGCGGCGUACUGGACUGUAACUGACGUUGAGGCUCGAAGGCGUGGGGAGCAAACAGGAUUAGAUACCCCAGUAGUC